rnacentral:rRNA from 3 species
UUAGGCCGGGAACUCAAAGGAGACUGCCAGUGAUAAACUGGAGGAAGGUGGGGAUGACGUCAAGUCAUCAUGGCCCUUACGACCAGGGCUACACACGUGCUACAAUGGCGCAUACAAAGAGAAGCGACCUCGCGAGAGCAAGCGGACCUCAUAAAGUGCGUCGUAGUCCGGAUUGGAGUCUGCAACUCGACUCCAUGAAGUCGGAAUCGCUAGUAAUCGUGGAUCAGAAUGCCACGGUGAAUACGUUCCCGGGCCUUGUACACACCGCCCGUCACACCAUGGGAGUGGGUUGCAAAAGAAGUAGGUAGCUUAACCUUCGGGAGGGCGCUUACCACUUUGUGAUUCAUGACUGGGGUGAAGUCGUAACAAGGUAACCGUAGGGGAACCUGCGGUUGGAUCACCUCCUUA